rnacentral:tRNA from 1 species
GCGGGGGUAGCCAAGCCUGGCCAAAGGCGCAGGACUUAGGAUCCUGUCUUCAGCGGUUCGAGGGUUCAAAUCCCUUCCCCCGCACCA